GACGAACGCUGGCGGCGCGCUUAACACAUGCAAGUCGAGCGAGAACCGGGGCUUCGGCUCCGGGGAAAGCGGCGAACGGGUGAGUAACACGUGGGUAACCCACCCUUGGUAUCCGGAUAGCCCGGGGAAACCCGGAUUAAUACGGAAUGGCCCAACAGCCUCUCGGGGCGGUUGGAAAAGGUAGCUUCGGCCUCCGACCAAGGACGGGCCCGCGGCGGAUUAGCUUGUUGGUGCGGGUAACGGCCCACCAAGGCGACGAUCCGUAGCUGGCUGAGAGGACGAUCAGCCACACUGGGACUGAGACACGGCCCAGACUCCUACGGGAGGCGGCAGUGGGGAAUCUUGCGCAAUGGGCGAAAGCCUGACGCAGCGACGCCGCGUGGGGGAAGAAGGCUUUCGGUUGUAAA
rnacentral:rRNA from 1 species